GGUUUUCCCAUUAACUUCCAUUUUCUCAACGUAUUAUAAUUCCUUUCGAUUCUCUCUUGCAUAGCAGUCGGUAUUCUCAAUCCAGUAGGUAUUCGCUCAAAAAAAGAAAACGCUCAGAAAAAUAACGCUCAUCCCAGAUUUCAUUCCGUGCAUUAAUUUGAUCCCCUCUGUAAAAUGGAUAAUCCCAAUCGAAAUCAGCAUCAGAUCCAAUCGAACAUGAUAGCAACUUGAAGUGAUUGACGGUGUUGGUGCUGAAGCAUAGCAUAUAAUAGUUGGUGAUGGAAAUGGUGAAUCCAGACAGAUGAAGACUGAAAUUACAUGGUAGCGCCUAAUGUCGUUAUGUAAUGGUGAAAUUAGUAUCUCUUUACUUUUUGGUGCGACUUUGAUGUUUAAUGAAGCUGUUCUUUGUUUUUAUUAUAGAAAAAAUAAACCCAGGUUGAGUUUUUAGUUUUAUCCAUGAA